rnacentral:tRNA from 1 species
GCUUAUAUAGUUUAAUAAAAACAUUUCAUUUUCAAUGAAAAAAAAGAUUAUCAAUCUUAUAAGUU